CUCCUCACAAACAAUCUGACCAUAUUUUAUGCUUUUCUCCACCUCAUUUUUCGACUUUUUCCUCCAGGGACUGAAUCUGGACUUUCAACUUAAUGCUUCUCUACCUGUUGUCAUACCGAAGCUGGUGCUCCUGGAAGAGCCUCACCAACAUAUCCCUGAUGGCCCUCUCUGCUUCAUGCUCCAAGCACUUGGAUGUUCACCUUGAAAUAUAAUUAUUAUUAGGGACUAUCCAAAUAAUAAUAACAGAUGGAAGGGGAGGUCUUUCCCCUAGGGAUCAAGUUUCCUUUUUAACGUUGAAAGGAUCCAUAACAGAUGGAAAUGCCAUAGCUAUUGCAAAUGGGAUGCAUAUUAUGAUGUUUUCUCCAAAGCACUAGCCACACAUGAUGAAAAUCACAAUUUGCCUGAAACAUGUUUCCUCUUUUUGUGCAAUACCAAGUGGCAGAGCCAGGGCUCAGGCUGUCCUAGCUGCAGCCCUGGCUCCAAGCCAUAAAGGUAAUGUAAAUCCUCUAGAAAUUCUACAAAUUCCAAAAACAUUCAAACGACUUGACCCUGUAUUAACAUUUCUGGCUCUGGCAACACCCCAUUCCACUGGCUGACACCCAAUAUUCAUACUGUCUAUGGGACCCUAGAUACCAUGAGACACUUAUUAUUUGUUCUAUUAUUCAAUUUUUUUGUUUCUUUUGCUUUCUAUUAUUAAUUAACAUGCAUCUCCUUGACUUAUUUAAUAGGUGUUGACUGUUGACUUGAUGGAUCAGAUUAUGGAUUUUCCUGUUGACCCAAUCAUGGCAUUAAGGCCUAUAAGUAUAAAGCAGAAAUACUUCUUAAGGAAUACUUGCUAGCAGAUUCAUAUGUUCUAUACACUUCUGUGCUCGUGGGGCUUCUGAUGUGCAAGUUGAUUGAUCCAGCACAAUGCCGAGGAGACUGAAGACUAAACUUGGAGGUGCUACUGAAGAAUGUGACUUUGAUUCAAAGGGCAAAAGUGAUAAUGAGAUGUGGUUUGUGCCAGUUAAUAUAGCGACCACGUUCAUGAUCGGUGGCACUCUGGGCUGGAUAGCUUGCAGCAUAUUGAAGCCACCGCAGCACUUCAGGGGCUUGAUCAUGGCCUUCUGCUCAGCCAGCUGGGUUGCCUCUUCAUAUGGACGCACACGUACAGCCUGAUGCAGAAGUCCGGCAAGCUGUACAACAAGAUGCAGUCUAAAAGCAUCCAGUGCCCAGCCGACAGUGACGAGGAGCAUGAGCACGCGAAAGAAGAUGGGCCAGCUGGCUGCGCUGACGAGGAGGCACCUCUUCCGACCAGGGGCGAAGCCAGGAUCCGAAGACAGAGGGGGCAGGCUUAGCCUCCAAGCGACCAAACCAGCAAGGACACAAUAUAAAAAUGGCAAGAGAACCUACCACAAUGUAUAUAUUGAUAUAUAAUCUUCAUUAAAAAACAGUAUAAUGAAACAUCUAUUUUGUCAAACAAAAUAAAAUUACAUCUCAGUUAUUUUGAAUUUAGCUCUACGUGUAUUAGCUAGA